rnacentral:rRNA from 1 species
CAGGUCUUGACAUCCUUUGACCACCCUAGAGAUAGGGCUUUCCCCUUCGGGGGACAAAGUGACAGGUGGUGCAUGGUUGUCGUCAGCUCGUGUCGUGAGAUGUUGGGUUAAGUCCCGCAACGAGCGCAACCCUUGAUCUUAGUUGCCAGCAUUUAGUUGGGCACUCUAAGGUGACUGCCGGUGACAAACCGGAGGAAGGUGGGGAUGACGUCAAAUCAUCAUGCCCCUUAUGACCUGGGCUACACACGUGCUACAAUGGAUGGUACAAAGGGCAGCAAAACCGCGAGGUCGAGCCAAUCCCAUAAAGCCAUUCUCAGUUCGGAUUGUAGGCUGCAACUCGCCUACAUGAAGCCGGAAUUGCUAGUAAUCGCGGAUCAGCAUGCCGCGGUGAAUACGUUCCCGGGCCUUGUACACACCGCCCGUCACACCACGAGAGUUUGUAACACCCGAAGUCGGUGAGGUAACCUUUUGGAGCCAGCCGCCUAAGGUGGGACAGAUGAUUGGGGUG